rnacentral:rRNA from 1 species
UACAGAGGUGGCAAGCGUUGUUCGGAAUUACUGGGCGUAAAGGGCGCGUAGGCGGCCAUCUAAGUCAGACGUGAAAUCCCCCGGCUUAACCUGGGAACUGCGUCUGAUACUGGAAGGCUUGAGUAUGGGAGAGGGAUGUAGAAUUCCAGGUGUAGCGGUGAAAUGCGUAGAUAUCUGGAGGAAUACCGGUGGCGAAGGCGGCAUCCUGGACCAUUACUGACGCUGAGGCGCGAAAGCCAGGGGAGCGAACGGG